UCUGGGAUUACUUCAGCUCUGGAGGGAGCAGCCACACCUCUGCUGAUGCCUGAGCAAGCACCCCGCUCUGCGGCACUCAGCACCAGUGACCUGGCAGGAGAGCUGACACCAAUCAAGGCAAACAGACAAAAAUGAAAAUUUUGAUUUGGGACCCAUAAAACGAAGCAAAAACGUGAAGCAAAUUUGGACUCGCUGCACAAAGAAAGCGUGGGACUGAUUCAGCCCCUACCACCGUAAAGCACCCCUGAAUGAUCCUGAUAUGGCACCAAGCAAGAGGAAAAUAUCACUCCUGUAAUCGGCGAUUGACCUCGAUGGAGAGCCAGGGCGGCGUCUUGUCACACCAGCUAUUCACACAUCAAGCUUUUAGAGGCAUCACUGGGCAGGCGAAUUUUAAAGCAAGACAUGACAGGCUGGAGGCUGAGCUCGGUUACCCUGCUGUGAACCCCCCGCUGCUGAGGGAGCUGCCCUGGGUUUGCACCGGCGCAGCUGGCACGGGACCCGGCCUGGCAUCACCUAAGGUGACAGCUGCAUUGCAUGGCCUCGUGUCCACUCGGGAAGCAAAAGCAACCUUCUAGCUCCAGCAGCCUGGGCUGCAGGACCUCUCUGAGCUCUUGCAGCAUCGCCUGGUUAGUGGGUGCUAAUUUGUGCUGCUCCUCCUCCUCUUCUCUCCAGGCCACUCGGCAGGACCCUGGGGACAAGGCAAGCGGCAUUUGGGUUGUUCCCUCUGCAUGACCUUGGGUAAGUCACUUUUCUCCCUCUUGUCCUUCCCAAGUGGUGUGGGCUGUCCCAGGGGUGCACCCAGAGCUGCGAGGCGAAGCGACGAGCACUGCCACCGGGAAGUCUGCGUAA